rnacentral:tRNA from 3 species
GCGGAAGUGGCGGAAUUGGCAGACGCACCAGACUAAGGAUCUGGCGGGUAACCCCCGUGGAGGUUCAAGUCCUCUCUUCCGCA